UACGGAGGGUGCGAGCGUUGUUCGGAAUUACUGGGCGUAAAGCGCGUGUAGGCGGCCUUUUAAGUCUGGUGUGAAAGCCCGGGGCUCACCCCCGGAAGUGCACUGGAUACUGAGAGGCUCGAGUACCGGAGAGGAGGGUGGAAUUCCUGGUGUAGCGGUGAAAUGCGUAGAUAUCAGGAGGAACACCGGUGGCGAAGGCGGCCCUCUGGACGGAUACUGACGCUGAGACGCGACAGCGUGGGGAGCAAACAGG
rnacentral:rRNA from 1 species